rnacentral:rRNA from 1 species
CUACAGGGGUUUCUAAUCCUGUUUGCUCCCCACGCUUUCGCGCCUCAGCGUCAGUAUCGGUCCAGAGAGCCGCCUUCGCCACCGGUGUUCUUCCCAAUAUCUACGAAUUUCACCUCUACACUGGGAAUUCCACUCUCCUCUCCCGAUCUCUAGCCAUCCCGUAUCAAGCGCAGUUCCCAGGUUAAGCCCGGGGCUUUCACGCCUGACAAAAAUAGCCGCCUGCGCGCCCUUUACGCCCAGUAAAUCCGAACAACGCUCGCCCCCUUCGUAUUACCGCGGCUGCUGGCAC